UGGGGAAUAUUGCACAAUGGGCGCAAGCCUGAUGCAGCCAUGCCGCGUGUAUGAAGAAGGCCUUCGGGUUGUAAAGUACUUUCAGCGGGGAGGAAGGGAGUAAAGUUAAUACCUUUGCUCAUUGACGUUACCCGCAGAAGAGGCACCGGCUAACUCCGUGCCAGCAGCCGCGGUAAUACGGAGGGUGCAAGCGUUAAUCGGAAUUACUGGGCGUAAAGCGCACGCAGGCGGUUUGUUAAGUCAGAUGUGAAAUCCCCGGGCUCAACCUGGGAACUGCAUCUGAUACUGGCAAGCUUGAGUCUCGUAGAGGGGGGUAGAAUUCCAGGUGUAGCGGUGAAAUGCGUAGAGAUCUGGAGGAAUACCGGUGGCGAAGGCGGCCCCCUGGACGAAGACUGACGCUCAGGUGCGAAAGCGUGGGGAGCAAACAGG
rnacentral:rRNA from 1 species